rnacentral:rRNA from 1 species
GCACCGACGAACGGGUGGAGCGUUUGUACGGUUUAAUUGAUUCAACGACCGGAAUCGUUACCGGACCGACAGCGAUACGAAGGCCAGGCUGAAGACUUUGCCGGAUUAGCUGAGAGGUGGUGCAUGGCCGUCGUCAGUUCGUACUGUGAAGCAUCCCGUUAAGUCAGGCAACGAGCGAGACCCACGCCCACAGUUGCCAGCGUACUCUCUGGAGUGACGGGUACACUGUGGGACCGCCGCUGCUAAAGCGGAGGAAGGAAUGGGCAACGGUAGGUCAGUAUGCCCCGAAUAUCCCGGGCUACACGCGAGCUACAAUGGUUGGUACAAUGGGUAUCUACCCCGAAAGGGGACGGGAAUCUCCUAAAACCAAUCUUAGUUCGGAUUGAGGGCUGCAACUCGCCCUCAUGAAGCUGGAAUCCGUAGUAAUCGCGUUUCAACAGAACGCGGUGAAUACGUCCCUGCUCCUU